GACGAACGCUGGCGGCGUGCCUAAUACAUGCAAGUCGAACGCAGUGGGGACGGGUGAGUAACACGUUGGUAACCUCCCAUCAGAGGGGAUAACACUUGGAAACAGGUGCUAAACCGAUACUGAUGGAUGGACUCGCGGUGCAUUAGCGAGUUGGUGAGGUAACGGCUCACCAAGGCCACGAUGCAUAGCCGACCUGAGAGGGUGAUCGGCCACCCUGGGACUGAGACGCGUCCCAGACUCCUACGGUAGGCAGCAGUAGGGAAUCUUCGGCAAUGGAAUAAAGUCAGACCGAGCAACGACGCGUGAGUGAAGGAGGUUUUCGGAUCGUAAAACUCUGUUGUUAAAGAAGCGGUAUCUAACCAGAAAGCCAAGGCUAGCUGCGUACCAGCAGCCGCGGUAAUUC
rnacentral:rRNA from 1 species